rnacentral:lncRNA from 1 species
CGGCUAUUUUAUUAGCUAAUCACUAGCAAGUAUUUACACAUAAUUCAUUGUUCAUAUUAUACCAAAAGUAGCUAAGUUUCUAUACAUGCCAUACCCAAAACAAAACGUCUAGUUAUAUCGAGUUAUUUCUUUGAUAGUGUGAUCGGCCUCCGACGUUUCCUUCGAUCCCCAAGUGACUAGAUAAGUACUAUAAGAAGAAGAAAAUAAAGAGAUUAAGCACUAGGCUUAGUAAGCUUACAAGCAAAUAAAUCACAACAUUCAACAUAAUGGAUAAUUAUGCAUAAUAUCAUCUAACAUCAUAAAUUGCUUUACUUCUCAAUUUGUAUCUUCUUCUUUAUUCCCUUACCUUCUUUCUUACCUGACCUUUCCUUUUUCAUAAGUAUAAUCUACUUUUCCUUUGCUGUUAAUUCACUGUAAUUUAACUCGUAUCCUGACCCGUUGAACCACUCGGAAUACUAAGGAUACUAGGGUCGUUCCUGUCUAUCAAUAUCCUGCCAAUGCCAUGUCUUUGACAUGGACUUACAUGAAUUAUUCCUGUCUCCAAUGCCAUAUAUAAUAUGGACUUACAUGGCUCAAUCCUGUCUCCAAAUCCAUAUUUCUAAUAUGGACUUACAUGGCUCAUUUCUGUUCUGUCCUGUCAACUCUAAUAUCCUAACAUUCCUAGGGUUCAACCGGGGCUUUCUAACACUUUUCCUCUGUCACUCCACCUUAAAUUCGACUUUACAUAUUUUCAUAACAUAAGUAUAUAAAUGCUGGAAAUUGACAAUAAUAAUGUAAAAUAAAAUAAUAUUGCAUUUAUUUACUGUAACUUACCUUGAUACAAAAUGUGACUAAACUUUACAAUUUAGUCCUUUACUUUUUCUUUUCCCCGAUCUACUCCCGAAUUUCGUUCUUCUUGAUCUAUAAUAGCAAAUUUAACUUAUUUAAUAUUCACAUUUAUUAAAACAGUCCUUGACCCAAACUUUUGCAAAAUUAUAUUUUUACCCCUAAACUUUCACAUAUUUGCACUUUUGCCCCAAGGCUCGUAAAUUAAACUUCAUCCUAUUUUCUUAUGUUUUAUGACAUGCUGAUCAUUUUUCCCUUCUAUGGCAAUAUCAAAAUCACACUCUAACAUAUACUUAUGACUAUUGGUAUUUUUUUUCCAAUUUAAGCCAUUUUACUCGUCUUCACUUAAAACCGAAUAACAUAAGUUGUUUAACAUAAUUUAAAACCUCAUAUUCUAUCAUAAAACACCAAAAUACACAAAUUUCAGCCAUGGGUAUUUUUCCAAAUAUGAACCCUAGGCUGAAUUAUUGCUAGAAUAAGCUUAAUCAAGUUACCGGGACUCCAAAAACGUAAAGAUCAUUAAAAACGGGGCUUGGAAUCACUUACUAUGAAGCUUGAAAGUUGAAGAAACCCCAACUAUGGAGGAGAGCAAAAAUUGGCAGAAACUAAU